GUUUAAACCUCGACAGCGCCACCUUUCGGCAAAGGUGCAGAAUACUCUCUAGGCAAAGAGAUGGAGCACCAAUGCUGUACCUGACCAUGAAUGAGAUGCAUUGAGUGUCUGCUUCAUGGCUGGGAAUCACUGUACAGCCACUCUGCAAUUUUCCAGCCUAUCAAAGAUGACAUGCAGCUAGCACGCUGUAAAGCUAAGCACCUGCACUGUGGCUCUGAACUGCAUUCAGAAGGCAUUUGCUUCCAUUCUUGGAGCAGUAAUAGCACUUCAAGAGGUCACAGAGUACAUAGGCACUUUAAUCAUUUUGCAGAACCAUCUUUAGAUUUUCUUAAGAAAUCUCUGAGUCAGCAUUUCCUGCAAGAUGAGAUCGCCCCCUCCCCCCUCCACCAAUAUCAAUAGCUGGAAAGUCAAUGAUUUCCCAGGAUGUCAUGGAUAACCUGCAGUAGGAAAGGUUAGGUCUGGUGACAUCCAGGACCGGCUCCAGCUGUUUUGCCACCCCAAGCAGUGAAUAAAAAAAGAGAAAAAAGAAAAAUUUGAUUGAGCUGCCGCCUAAGUGCCACCGAAGAAUGAGAAAGGGACUGAUCGACUGGUUGCCGAAUUGCCACAGACCCAGACGUGCCGCCCCAAUAACGGACGGAGUGCUGCCCCUUUCUAUUGGCCACCCCAGGCAGUUGCUUCCUUCGCUGGUGCCUGGAGCUGGCCCUGGUGACAUCACGUUGAGUAUCAUUCCACUGACUCACAGGCAUUAACUGUGAGCUCUAGAAAAGACUUGGCAGGAUGAGUUCGUCCGCAUGUUUCAGAUGACCAAUUUGGGACAGCUGGCUGACAAUUUUACAUCAGCUCUUGCUAGUGGAAAUCCAGAGCUUGGUCCGAGAUUUACAAAUUGAAUGUGCUGCCUCUAGAAAAAUGCCAAGAUGGUUAAAAAAGCAAAACCAGGUACCCACAUUGAGCUCGUCUCCUGAAGACUUGAGAGUGCUUAGCCAAGGACGCACUUCUCCACCUCUAUGCCGGAUUCAGCCACUUGGAGAGAAGAGGUGCUUUUGUUUCCAAACAACUAAAGAAAGUCCACGUAUAUACCUGAAAUCUAUAUGCCUUCAGGGAAACUUCUAGCUGCUCCUUGUGUCUGCUGCAUUUAAACAAAGUGGAUUCAAAACAUACCCAGUAAAAUAGUUUUGAUUACUUCUGAGUUAGUUCACCUUGAUUUAAACCAGUAGCUGAGAGGUUAAAGGACCCAAUAUACUAGUUCUGAUUACCUCAAUCAUCCUGCCUUUCCCUGACUUUUCCUUAAAAGGUGUACAAAGGAAUUUGUAAAAGAAUAGACUUUGAAAAUCAAUACAAACUAUAACAUGGAACUUCUUGUCAGGGCAUACUGAGUAAUAUUGAUUUUGUCUAAAAACUAAAGGAUCCUGCUUAUGAAGUCAAGCUGUUGCAUUCUGAGCCAUUUGGAUUCUAGAUCUGAGUACUUUAGGAUUCUAAAAUCCUUGAGUUUUGGCCCUGUACAGAUUUCCUAACUCCUUCCCCACCUUUCCUUUUUCAAAUUUGAGGUCUAGACUUUGGGUUUACCAGUAAAUCAGAGUUAGGUGCAGUUGCCCUGCCCCAGGAGUGGACCAGGGACAGAAAUGAGACUCCGAAUGUCACCAUCGUGGGGGGAAUAAUUUGUAUCUUUACCUGGCACCAGCUGUGCCCAAUGGAGUAUUGGGGGAAGGGCAGAGUCAAAGCUCUGAUCACUCCACUGCCUUGAAUAAUCCCCAUCCAUCUGCACAGGCAAGGGAUAUCAGCCUGCAGAGGGUGCUUUCCUCACUAAACUGUAACCCAUGCCUGCAGAUGAGCAUAAGGGAUGCUUUGUUAUUCCCCUGUCUGGGCAUGUGGGGCCUGCCACAAUCCUGUUCUAAAAGUCUCCUGCAGCCUUGUACAACACAAAGCUUUCCCAGCAGAGAGAGCCUGGGCAGCAUCUUCUUUCUGCAUUGCUAACAAGAACUGCUGAGAAAGGCUAGAAUGGCGGGUGCCAGAAUCUGGAAUUAGAUACAGGUUAAUUACAUUUCAUUACUCAAGACUGGGACAUCAAAUAUCUGUCCAGGAUUUUAUAUUUAUUGUUAGGGGGAUGAUGUACAAUUUGCAAGUAGAAUUAUUGUAAAUGACCCUAUUGAUAACUCCAACCAUUCCGUUGUAUGAAAUCACCUUGCCAGCUUCCUUGUGGUCUGCUAAAAUAAAGGUUCUUUAAUUAUGCUGAA